AUUGAACGCUGGCGGCAGGCCUAACACAUGCAAGUCGAACGGUAACAGGAAGAAGCUUGCUUCUUUGCUGACGAGUGGCGGACGGGUGAGUAAUGUCUGGGAAACUGCCUGAUGGAGGGGGAUAACUACUGGAAACGGUAGCUAAUACCGCAUAACGUCGCAAGACCAAAAAGGGGGACCUUCGGGCCUCUUGCCAUCGGAUGUGCCCAGAUGGGAUUAGCUAGUAGGUGGGGUAACGGCUCACCUAGGCGACGAUCCCUAGCUGGUCUGAGAGGAUGACCAGCCACACUGGAACUGAGACACGGUCCAGACUCCUACGGGAGGCAGCAGUGGGGAAUAUUGCACAAUGGGCGCAAGCCUGAUGCAGCCAGGCCGCGUGUAUGAAGAAGGCCUUCGGGUUGUAAAGUACUUUCAGCGGGGAGGAAGGGAGUAAAGUUAAUACCUUUGCUCAUUGACGUUACCCGCAGAAGAAGCACCGGCUAACUCCGUG
rnacentral:rRNA from 1 species